rnacentral:rRNA from 1 species
GAUGAACGCUGGCGGCGUGCCUAAUACAUGCAAGUCGAGCGAACGGACGAGAAGCUUGCUUCUCUGAUGUUAGCGGCGGACGGGUGAGUAACACGUGGAUAACCUACCUAUAAGACUGGGAUAACUUCGGGAAACCGGAGCUAAUACCGGAUAAUAUUUUGAACCGCAUGGUUCAAAAGUGAAAGACGGUCUUGCUGUCACUUAUAGAUGGAUCCGCGCUGCAUUAGCUAGUUGGUAAGGUAACGGCUUACCAAGGCAACGAUGCAUAGCCGACCUGAGAGGGUGAUCGGCCACACUGGAACUGAGACACGGUCCAGACUCCUGCGGGAGGCAGCAGUAGGGAAUCUUCCGCAGUGGGCGAAAGCCUGACGGAGCAACGCCGCGUGAGUGAUGAAGGUCUUCGGAUCGUAAAACUCUGUUAUUAGGGAAGAACAUAUGUGUAAGUAACUGUGCACAUCUUGACGGUACCUAAUCAGAAAGCCACGGCUAACUACGUG